GACGAACGCUGGCGGCGUGCUUAACACAUGCAAGUCGAACGAGUGGCGAACGGGUGAGUAAUACGUGGGUAACCUGCCCUCUUUUUGGGAUAAGCCUUGGAAACGGGGUCUAAUACCGAAUAAGGGGGAUGGGCUCGCGGCUUAGCAGCUUGUUGGUGGGGUGCUGGCCUACCAAGGCGGUGACGGGUAGCCGGCCGGAGAGGGUGACCGGCAACAUUGUGACUGAGAUACGGCCCAGACUGCUACGGGAGGCAGCAGUGGGGGAUAUUGCACAAGGGGCGAAAGCCUGAGUCAGCGACGCCGCGUGGGGCAUGGAGUCUUUCGGGUUGUAAACCUCUUUCGCUAGCGAACUGGUAGGUGGAGAAGAAGCGCCGGCUAACUACGUGCCAGCAGCCGCGGUAAUAC
rnacentral:rRNA from 1 species